CUUGGCCUUCCUUUUUGUUUCCUGCAACUUUGUUUAUAUGUUGUUCUGGAUACACCUUUGAACUAUCAGGUGGGCAUUUCCUAUAUAACAGGAUUAUUGCCUGGUGGAGACGGAGGAGAAUUCGUCUGGAAGUCUUUGGGAUCUAAGCUUCGCCUUCUCAUUUUUGACGUAGAUUUCUUCUUAACCUGAGAAAAGAUUUGAAAACAUCAACAACUUUGAGCUUCCAGUGCAAGUAAACUGCAUAGAAAGAAAAAUACAUUUGCUUGUUCUGUAAUUAGAAAGGUAACAAGGGGAAGACUCUUCUUAGCAUCAUUGCUUACUAAAUUGAAGAGACUUGAAUUA